CUCUAUGUUUUUUUGCAUUAAAUAUUUUUUAUUUUGACAAAAUUUGGAAUUUCAUACUUAUUAAGUCGAAAAAUAGGCGUCAAAACGACGAUUAGGACGCGCUUGACUUGACGUGCACGCGACACUCGAGUUGUCAUACGCGCGAACGAGAUUACUGAUCACGUUGGAUUAUUUUCGGAGCAAUUAAUUCACCGGUCGAUGCAUUGUAGAUACGUAUUCGCGUCAUGUCGCGAGUUUUUCACUAAGCUUAAGCAACAGUUAAAUUUCUGCUAUUACGUUGCUGUUACUUGUUACGUAUUACGGUAUUUGUUAAUAUAUCGUAAAUUCUAUCGAAAGAUCACUCAAAUUUCGUAGAGGUUAUGUAGCGCAUUAUAAACAUUCGCGUGAUUGUUAAUAAUUGAGUUUUUUUUUUAUGACAAAUGUGUGAAUUGUUGACUUAGUGAGGUUUAAUUUUAUAAAAUAUGAUGAAGCUAGUUGUGCCAAGAGUAUAUUAGACAAGAUUUGUAUCUUUACAAUGUUUGUCAGCAAAGCCAAAAGCUAUACUCGAUGAUAAAACAUUAAAUUUGAUUUCUAACAAUAGCCUAAAAUAUAGGCAUCAUCCUGGUAUUGUCAAACCUAGAACACCAGUAUUCUCAGCAUGAGCAUCAAAGGAAAUAGAAAAUAUCUUAAAAGAAAAAAAAUAACAUAAGCUUGAAAGAAUUGAAAGAAAGUGUAAAAAAAUUAUUUCGCCAUUUGCAUGGUUGCCAUUCGCCGCUGAAGCAAUCACAACUGCCAGAAAAAUUACAAAAAGUAGAAGAAUGUUUGAAUGCUAAUUGUAAUCAGAAAAUAUCUAUAGAAGACAUAGAUUUCGUACGGAUAGAAGAGCAAGGCAAAUUUUGAAGACCAAUGUAUACAAUUGGCAACCAAUUAAUUUUGAUAAGCUCACUUACGUAUCUGCUUGAUAGAGAAGUUCAAAAUUAUGCGGUUAUAUAUGUAGAAUUCUGGAUGAGAUCAGAACACGUGACAAAGAAUUCAAGCCUAGAAGACAAUUUGACUUUGGCUCUGGUCUUGGUACGGACAUGUGCUUUUAGAAACAGUUAAUGCUGUCAAUCACUACAGAGAGAAUUACUUCUACAAAUUGCUCUUUACACGCAUCAGCCAUUUGGAUUUAAAAGCAAGAAAGUGCAGCAUCAGUUCUUGUUAAUGUUUACCCCGAUAGCCAAAUGAUAGCAGUAUGCCAGCAGUAUGCACGCAGAUUUAAUUAGCUCUUUACAACAGAUUCCACUCAGCUGUGUCAUCAUAGUGAGUAAAUUAUGUAGGCACAAUAUGUAAAGAAAACAACAC